GACGAACGCUGGCGGCGUGCUUAACACAUGCAAGUCGAACGGAAAGGCCCCGAUUUUUUGGGGUGCUGGAGGGGCGAAGGGGUGAGGAACAUGAGAGUAACGUGACCUUCACUUUGGGAUAGGUUCACGGAACUGGGGUUACUAUAGGACAGGAUAUCCUGUUGCAUUGGGGGGAUUGGAAAGUCUCGGCGGUUGGGGAUGGACGCGAGGCUGAUGAAGUCGUUGGUGGGGUAGUAGGGUACCAAGGCAUGGACGGGUAGCCGGCCUGAGAGGGUGACCGGCCACAUUGGGACUGCGAGACGGACCAGACUGGUACGGGAGGCAGCAGUGGGGAGUAUUGCACAGUGGGAGGAAGCCGGAUGCAGCAGCGCCGCGUGCGGGAUGACGGCCUUCGGGUUGUAAAACGCUUCCGCCUGUGACGAAGCGGGAGUGACGGUAAUGGAAAAAGAAGCACCGGCUAACUACGUG
rnacentral:rRNA from 1 species